rnacentral:lncRNA from 1 species
CUGCAGGACUAUCUUUAACUUUCGAUACUAAUUAUUGAAAUUCGAUCCGAUAAACUUCUCACUAUCCAACAGUGAUCGGAGUGACAAGUUUGAGGCCAUAUCUACACAUACAAGAAAAAUAGAAAACCUAAUUAGUAUAUAAAUUUGUUAAUCAUAAAGAUUUGGACUUUAGUUUAAAGGUCCUUCUACUAUUUUAUAC